rnacentral:rRNA from 1 species
AUACGGAGGGUGCAAGCGUUACUCGGAAUCACUGGGCGUAAAGCGCGCGCAGGCGGGCUGAUAAGUUGGAUGUGAAAGCCUACGGCUCAACCGUAGAACUGCAUCCAAAACUGUCAGUCUAGAGUCUGGGAGGGGAAGAUGGAAUUAGUUGUGUAGGGGUAAAAUCCGUAGAGAUAACUAGGAAUACCAAAAGCGAAGGCGAUCUUCUGGAACAGUACUGACGCUGAGGCGCGAAAGCGUGGGGAGCAAACAGGAUUAGAUACCCUUGUAGUCC